UACGGAGGGGGCUAGCGUUGUUCGGAAUUACUGGGCGUAAAGCGCGCGUAGGCGGACCUGCAAGUCGGGGGUGAAAUCCCACGGCUCAACCGUGGAAGUGCACUCGAAACUGCGCAGCUAGAGUCCUGGAGAGGAAGGUGGAAUGCUUGGUGUAGAGGUGAAAUUCGUAGAUAUCAAGCGGAACACCGGUGGCGAAGGCGGCCUUCUGGACAGUGACUGACGCUGAGAUGCGAAAGCGUGGGGAGCAAACAGGG
rnacentral:rRNA from 1 species